CCUACUGGUGGCAGCAGUGAGGAAUAUUGGUCAAUGGGAGCGAGCCUGAACCAGCCAAGUCGCGUGAGGGAAGACGGUCCUAUGGAUUGUAAACCUCUUUUGUCGGGGAGCAAAAGACGCCACGCGUGGCGUACCGAGAGUACCCGAAGAAAAAGCAUCGGCUAACUCCGAGCCAGCAGCCGCGGUAAUACGGAGGAUGCGAGCGUUAUCCGGAUUUAUUGGGUUGAAAGGGGGCGUAGGUGGUAGAUAAAGUCAGCGGUAAAAUUGCGGGGCUCAACCCCGUCGUGCCGUUGAAACUGGUCUACUUGAGUGAGUGAGAAGUAUGCGGAAUGCGUGGUGUAGCGGUGAAAUGCAUAGAUAUCACGCAGAACUCCGAUUGCGAAGGCAGCGUACCGGCGCUCAACUGACGCUCAUGCACGAAAGUGUGGGUAUCGAACAGGAUUAGAUACCCUAGGAGUC
rnacentral:rRNA from 1 species